rnacentral:rRNA from 1 species
AGGGGCAGCAUGGUCUUAGCUUGCUAAGGCCGAUUGCGACCGGCGCACGGGUGAGUAACACGUAUCCAACCUGCCGUCUACUCUUGGACAGCCUUCUGAAAGGAAGAUUAAUACAAGAUGGCAUCAUGAGUCCGCAUGUUCACAUGAUUAAAGGUAUUCCGGUAGACGAUGGGGAUGCGUUCCAUUAGAUAGUAGGCGGGGUAACGGCCCACCUAGUCUUCGAUGGAUAGGGGUUCUGAGAGGAAGGUCCCCCACAUUGGAACUGAGACACGGUCCAAACUCCUACGGGAGGCAGCAGUGAGGAAUAUUGGUCAAUGGGCGAGAGCCUGAACCAGCCAAGUAGCGUGAAGGAUGACUGCCCUAUGGGUUGUAAACUUCUUUUAUAAAGGAAUAAAGUCGGGUAUGCAUACCCGUUUGCAUGUACUUUAUGAAUAAGGAUCGGCUAACUCCGUGCCAGCAGCCGCGGUAAUACGGAGGAUUCGAGCGUUAUCCGGAUUUAUUGGGUUUAAAGGGAGCGUAGAUGGAUGUUUAAGUCAGUUGUGAAAGUUUGCGGCUCAACCGUAAAAUUGCAGUUGAUACUGGAUAUCUUGAGUGCAGUUGAGGCAGGCGGAAUUCGUGGUGUAGCGGUGAAAUGCUUAGAUAUCACGAAGAACU